AAUCGAUUACAGGACAAGUGCUGCCCCGGAGGCUCCGCGACGCGCGCACUCCCUCGCGCCCACCCGCGCGCCCGGCCGCGUCGCCCCCAGCCCGUUGGUCCCCGGACUGCGGACCCCGCCCCCGACGGGGGCCAGUCAAAGGAACGGAUGAGUACAAAAAGUUGCUACCCUUGAAGUGUUACCUAUCACUAUCAACCACAGCUUGUUUAUUUGGAAAGAACUUAAGUGAACCGUCAAGAGAAAAACAAAUGCAUAUUCUUUCUACAAAUAGUAGCAUUUAGUAUCUUUCCUGACCACAUUUGCGAAAAGAGGGAAUAGAGACUUCUAUAAUUAAAGGGAAAAGGAAAAUGAAAGGAGCUGAAAAUAGUGAACUGUGUAGUCUGGAUGGCUGAAAUUUGAAAACACAUGAAAUUAUCAGGACUGCCAAACGGUGUUCCUGAGAAACCAUAUCACAGAUUGUGAAGAAAAUCAAUGCUAGAAGAGUCGGAACAGGCACCGUACUCUUACUCCUUUGAAGAAUCCCAGAAAUAGUUGUUGAGGUUUUUUUUUUCUGCUGAGAAAAAAAGAUAUAUUGGAAAUUAAGUCAUCAACAGUACCUUAAGCACCACUCUGUAGGUAAUUUUGGAUAGUGUCUUUUCUUUACAUUUUGAUAUAGGGAAGGAAUUAAUUCACAUCGACACAAACGAAGUAAUGGAUACCAUAUAACUUGUGUGAUACUGUAGCUUUUAUAAUGAAUUACUUCUUGAAAGUUUUUUUUCCUAUACAAUGUAUUAUUAAACAAUUGUAACGAUAGUCUCUUUUUGUUUAACUAUAGAAAAUGGUAGAUAGUGUGGUACAGCAAACAAGAUUAACAAAUUUUCGUUGGAGAGAAAUUAUUUGGGCUCAGGCUUGCAAUAACAUUAUGAUGAUUUUAAGAAAAAUUGCAGUUCCUGUGAGUUAUAUAUUGAUAAGGCAG
rnacentral:lncRNA from 10 species